UACGUAGGGUGCGGGCGUUGUCCGGAAUUAUUGGGCGUAAAGGGCUCGUAGGCGGUCUGUCGCGUCGGGAGUGAAAACUCAGGGCUUAACCCUGAGCCUGCUUCCGAUACGGGCAGACUAGAGGUAUGCAGGGGAGAACGGAAUUCCUGGUGUAGCGGUGGAAUGCGCAGAUAUCAGGAGGAACACCGGUGGCGAAGGCGGUUCUCUGGGCAUUACCUGACGCUGAGGCACGAAAGCGUGGGGAGCAAACAGG
rnacentral:rRNA from 1 species